rnacentral:rRNA from 1 species
GACGAACCGUGCGAACGUUGUUCGGAAUCACUGGGCUUAAAGGGCGCGUAGGCGGGCGAUCAAGUCAGAGGUGAAAUCCUGCGGCUCAACCGUAGAAGAGCCCCUGAUACUGAUUGUCUCGAGGGAGAUAGGGGCAUGUGGAACUUCCGGUGGAGCGGUGAAAUGCGUAGAUAUCGGAAGGAACGCCGGUGGCGAAAGCGACGUGCUGGAUCUCUUCUGACGCUGGAGGCGCGAAAGCUAGGGGGAGCAAACGGG